GAGGGUCUGCCGAGUGACUUCUGUUCACUGUGAGAGGCUCAUCUCAGGGGCUUCAUGGCCUGGGGGAUGGCAGCCUGUUUGAACUGAUCGAGCAAUCUCACGCUACCCUUAUUUUCUGAAACACCCGUGAGUGACUUUUUCACACGUUCUUUGAAGCGGCGUCAUGCCCGUGCUCCUUGGUAAUGAGCGAAUGCUUUUGUUGACCCCUCAUCCCCUUUCCUUGGGGUGUGUUCCGGACUCGGUUCUCACGCGUUCUGCUUCUACGGGAAUCUCUGAAGCUGCUGAGUGUAGAAAGCACUGAGGAGGCUGUGCUCCCACCCCCGUGAGCCUUCCAGGCAUCGUCCUCUCCCCUCAGCGAGGCGACGUCCAUGGCACACCGAGGAGGCUGUGCUCCUGUCCCCCGUAAGCCUUCCAGGCGUCCUCCUCUCCCCUCCAGGGGGACAGGAGGAACCUUUCAAACCCUUCUUAAACUUGUUUCCAUGUCUUUGUUUUAACAGAUUUCUUUGCAUCUUCUCCCUUAUCCAGAAGUGAGGGUGUGAACGCUGAGUUAUUCCCAGGAGUCAAGAAACCACACACGGCCCAAAGUGACAUUUGUUUCCCCGAAAUGAUUUGUGUGUGUUCACCUUAAAAUGCAGCUCAGUAAAACAGGUGUGUGUUUUGAGGAAUGACUUGAAAUUACCCUGGUAAAGAUGUGACAGUUCCAUUUCAUCCAGUCUGUGCAGGUGUCCACAACCCCCUUCAGUGGUUGCGUGUGAGUUUAUGUGACUUGGGGUUUUUUAUUUAUUUAUUUAUUUUUUAUUUUUUUUGAAGAAAGAAAAUCUUGUUGCUGGGGACUUCAGAGGGUGUGCUGGGAUUGUGUGGGGCGGACAUCGGGGGCUUCAGUGUGUGGCCUCCUUGAAAAGACGUUCAAAUUCAGGCUGAGCGUCCCUACUCCAAAAUGCUCUGAAACCUGAAACAUUCCGAGCUCUCCCUCAUAUGACACUCGCAGGAAAUGCUCUUCGGAGCACUUUGGAUUUCAGGCUGGGGAUGCUCAACCAGAAAGCGAAAUACUGCAAGAGCCUUCUUGCCCCAGGAGCUUGGAUGAGGACAUGUGGCCUGUGCCGGGCAUCCGUGGCGUGCGAGGCAGCCUGGACUCGCUGGACUGGUUUUUGUAGGAGUCACAGAAGGGAAGGAGAGGGUCAAAGUGGCCACGCCUGGCUCCUGAGAUAGGGCGGAGCAGAGGGAGGUGGGCGCGGAGGGCAGCAGCGGAGUCCCCAGCGUCCGGGGCUCCUGUCCCUGGUGGAGUUGAGAGCCUCCUCUAGUUGUGGCCUCUGCCCUGUCAGCAGCCACUGAGGCCUGGAGGGAGCUGGGGGCUGAGGGGGAGGAGGAAGGGACAGGCCUGCUUCUGGAGAGGGCUGGCGUCAACCUGUGCUAGCCUCGUGUGCUACUCCUGCGUCCGGGGUGCACGGCCGUGCCUCGUGCCUCGUGCCUCGUGGCGCAGCGGUUCCCGGGGUGCGCAGCACUCUUGUCUUGCAGUAACGGCUUUGUCUCCAACCCUUGGAGGCAAGUUACCUUUUCCCCCUCCCCCUUCCCCCACCCCCCCCAGUGAAAAGAGGUAGAGAAUCUUACAGAAAUGCAUUUGCUGGAAUGUCUCUUUUCCGAUAAAUCUGAAAGUAUCUCCUAGUGAGUCUCGUGUGUAGAGUAAGGACAGUUCAUGCAUAUCUUAAAGCAGGUACAUCUAGCAACGCAGAGCAUCCCGGUGCUAGGAUGGAGUUUCCCACUAACUCUGGGAGUGGAAUCUGUAGAGCCUCGGGUGCUUGCACCAUGAGGUUAGCGAGGGUGCAGGUGCACCCACAGCCCUGCCUGUGCCGCGUCCCUUCUGCUAUAGAGCGUCUGCCGGGGCCUGCGUGGGUCGCCUGAGCGUUGCUGUUCCCUUUUUCACAUGAGCCUUUUUAUCGAAUACUAGGAUAAACUUGACCUCACAUACUUGGUGGGGAGAGAGAGAAGUAUAUCUGGGACCUCUUUAAUUCUAUGUUGGAAAAUAGAUUUGGGCAAAAUAUUUCUGCAUAUGCGUGCUUGGUGGGCGUGGGGUUCCCUGCCGCACCCUGGGGCACGUUCGCACGCACAUUGUGAUUUAAUCUUGGGUCUAUGGCAACAAAACUGUAGAAGUUGGCUAUGACUGACUUUCUCAGAUCUAGAAACAAACAUACAAUUGGAAUCAUCAUCUAUUGGACUUCUUUGUAAAACCUGAUUUGAGCUAUCAUUUUUGCUUGGUAUGUUAACAGUUUCAAACUCAAAUGUCACAAGGAGGAAUUGUUACCAUUUUGUUUUCGUAUCAACAUAUUGCUUCGCCAAGUCUCUUCUCACUAAUAGUUAUCCUUCCUCUGAAUGCGGCGUAAUUGUUAUAGAAUUAAGAAAAAGGUUGGUUGGGCACGCUGGCUUAUGCCUGUAAUGUAAUCGCAGCACUUUGUGAGGCCAAGGAGUUCAAGAGCAGCCUGGACAACAGAGCAAGACACCCCAUCUCUCUCACGACAGAAAAAUUAGCUGAGUAUGGUGGUGCGUGCCUGUGGUCCCUGCUACUCUGGAGUCCGAGGUGGGAAGAACACUUAAGGCUACGGUGAGCUGUGAUUGCUCCACUGUACUCCAGUCUUGGUGACAGAGCCAAGACCCUGUCUCA